AACCUACCUUUAGGAGGGGGACAACAACUGGAAACGGUUGCUAAUACCCCAUAAGCUGAGGAGUAAAAGGAAUAUUAUUCCGCCUAAAGAUGGGCUUGCGUCUGAUUAGCUUGUUGGUAGGGUAAAUGCCUACCAAGGCGACGAUCAGUAGCUGGUCUGAGAGGAUGAUCAGCCACACUGGGACUGAGACACGGCCCAGACUUCUACGGAAGGCAGCAGUGAGGAAUUUUCCGCAAUGGGCGAAAGCCUGACGGAGCAAUGCCGCGUGGAG
rnacentral:rRNA from 1 species